rnacentral:misc_RNA from 1 species
UAAUAAGUGUUUUAUGGCACUUUUUUAAAUCCAUAUCCACCUUGUGUGCAAUGUCAGUCGAUCUUCUUCAUGGAGAUCGACCAAACAUCAACCUUAUUUUUAACUCUUUGUCUGAAAAAUAUUAUGAAUAAACAAUUCAAAAUA